UGUUCUGUGGCUUAGUUGGUUAAAGCACCGGACUAGCGAUACGGAGUCGUGAGUUCGAAUCCCCACCAAAACAA
rfam:Aedes albopictus isolate Foshan contig42497, whole genome shotgun sequence.